GUUGUCGUGGCCGAGUGGUUAAGGCGGUUGACUAGAAAUCUUUUGGGAUCUUCAAGCGCAGGUUCGAAUCCUGCCGACAUCG
rnacentral:tRNA from 1 species